AUUGAACGCUGGCGGCAUGCCUUACACAUGCAAGUCGAACGGCAGCACGGGAGCAAUCCUGGUGGCGAGUGGCGAACGGGUGAGUAAUAUAUCGGAACGUGCCCAGUCGUGGGGAUAACGUAGCGAAAGCUACGCUAAUACCGCAUACGAUCUAUGGAUGAAAGCGGGGGAUCGCAAGACCUCGCGCGAUUGGAGCGGCCGAUAUCAGAUUAGGUAGUUGGUGAGGUAAAGGCUCACCAAGCCGACGAUCUGUAGCUGGUCUGAGAGGACGACCAGCCACACUGGGACUGAGACACGGCCCAGACUCCUACGGGAGGCAGCAGUGGGGAAUUUUGGACAAUGGGCGCAAGCCUGAUCCAGCAAUGCCGCGUGCAGGAUGAAGGCCUCGGUUGUAACUAGCUUUUGUACGGUAACGAAACGGUAGAGGCUCUAAUACAG
rnacentral:rRNA from 1 species